GUCGCGAUAGCUUGGCCGGUAGAGCAUCUGCCCGGUAUGCAGACGGUCACCGGUUAGAUUCCGGCUCGCGGCG
rnacentral:tRNA from 1 species